GAUCCUGGCUCAGAUUGAACGCUGGCGGCAUGCCUUACACAUGCAAGUCGAACGGCAGCACGGGAGCAAUCCUGGUGGCGAGUGGCGAACGGGUGAGUAAUACAUCGGAACGUGCCCAAUCGUGGGGGAUAACGUAGCGAAAGUUACGCUAAUACCGCAUACGAUCUACGGAUGAAAGCGGGGGAUCGCAAGACCUCGCGCGAAUGGAGCGGCCGAUGUCAGAUUAGGUAGUUGGUGGGGUAAAGGCUCACCAAGCCAACGAUCUGUAGCUGGUCUGAGAGGACGACCAGCCACACUGGAACUGAGACACGGUCCAGACUCCUACGGGAGGCAGCAGUGGGGAAUUUUGGACAAUGGGCGCAAGCCUGAUCCAGCCAUUCCGCGUGCAGGAUGAAGGCCUUCGGGUUGUAAACUGCUUUUGUACGGAACGAAACGGUCUGCCCUAAUACGGUGGGCUAAUGACGGUACCGUAAGAAUAAGCACCGGCUAACUACGUG
rnacentral:rRNA from 1 species